CCUAAGGUAGCGAAAUUCCUUGUCGGGUAAGUUCCGACCUGCACGAAUGGCGUAAUGAUGGCCAGGCUGUCUCCACCCGAGACUCAGUGAAAUUGAACUCGCUGUGAAGAUGCAGUGUACCCGCGGCAAGACGGAAAGACCCCGUGAACCUUUACUAUAGCUUGACACUGAACAUUGAGCCUUGAUGUGUAGGAUAGGUGGGAGGCUUUGAAGUGUGGACGCCAGUCUGCAUGGAGCCGACCUUGAAAUACCACCCUUUAAUGUUUGAUGUUCUAACGUUGACCCGUAAUCCGGGUUGCGGACAGUGUCUGGUGGGUAGUUUGACUGGGGCGGUCUCCUCCUAAAGAGUAACGGAGGAGCACGAAGGUUGGCUAAUCCUGGUCGGACAUCAGGAGGUUAGUGCAAUGGCAUAAGCCAGCUUGACUGCGAGCGUGACGGCGCGAGCAGGUGCGAAAGCAGGUCAUAGUGAUCCGGUGGUUCUGAAUGGAAGGGCCAUCGCUCAACGGAUAAAAGGUACUCUGGGGAUAACAGGCUGAUACCGCCCAAGAGUUCAUAUCGACGGCGGUGUUUGGCACCUCGAUGUCGGCUCAUCACAUCCUGGGGCUGUAGCCGGUCCCAAGGGUAUGGCUGUUCGCCAUUUAAAGUGGUACGCGAGCUGGGUUUAGAACGUCGUGAGACAGUUCGGUCCCUAUCUGCCGUGGGCGCUGGAGAACUGAGGGGGGCUGCUCCUAGUACGAGAGGACCGGAGUGGACGCAUCACUGGUGUUCGGGUUGUCAUGCCAAUGGCACUGCCCGGUAGCUAAAUGCGGAAGAGAUAAGUGCUGAAAGCAUCUAAGCACGAAACUUGCCCCGAGAUGAGUUCUCCCUGACCCUUUAAGGGUCCUGAAGGAACGUUGAAGACGACGACGUUGAUAGGCCGGGUGUGUAAGCGCAGCGAUGCGUUGAGCUAACCGGUACUAAUGAACCGUGAGGCUUAACCUU
rnacentral:rRNA from 1 species